CAGCCGCCGCGGUAAUACGAAGGGUGCAAGCGUUAAUCGGAAUUACUGGGCGUAAAGCGUGCGUAGGCGGUUUGUUAAGUCUGCUGUGAAAUCCCCGGGCUCAACCUGGGAAUGGCAGUGGAUACUGGCAAGCUAGAGUGUGUCAGAGGAUGGUGGAAUUCCCGGUGUAGCGGUGAAAUGCGUAGAGAUCGGGAGGAACAUCAGUGGCGAAGGCGGCCAUCUGGGACAACACUGACGCUGAGGCACGAAAGCGUGGGGAGCAAACAGGAUUAGAUACCCGUGUAGUCCCUGUCUCUUAUAC
rnacentral:rRNA from 1 species